UCGUCCCCCGCCAUCCCCUUCUCUCUCUCUCUCGUCUCUCGUCUCUCAUCUCUCGCGUCUCUCUUUCUCUCUCGUUUCUUAGGCUCUCUUCCUUUCUUUGAUCACAUGAACUCCUGUCUCCAUCCUUUUCUCCAUCGCCGCACUCUCUUUUUCUCCCCUUCUCGCCCUACGAAAUCCACAGUUUGAUGUGUUGCAACGCCUCCCUCAUCCUCGCAACCCCUAAAUCAGCUCUCUUUUUACAGUCCCAGAAGAGUGCCGGUGAUUUCGAAUCUGAUAUGCUCCAAUACCAUAUGGAAAUCUUGCAAGAAAUGCAUCGUAUUCCUUGCGAAACCUGAGCUUCGCCGACCAGCCGUCAUCACUCCCCGCCCUGCCCUCCAUCUCCAAGUUUCUUGGUGACGCUCAAGAUCCAAUUUCUUGCGAGAAACGUAGAAUCUUGAACAUCGGAACACCCUUCAGUCAUCGGUUCUUCGACAGGGGGCUUUGCCUUAACGGAGACUCGUCGUCCUUCCUCAGGUAUCCCAACUCCACAAUUGGGCGGAUUUGUCGCGAUUCCAGGUUCUUUGCUAGCGUUUCCGGCUGUUUCUUCCACCGACGUGGAUGAAGACACUUCUUCAAUAGAAGAAAUUCAAGAAAUGCUGGAGGAUAUCAGCAAAAUCGAGGAGAGCGAAGGCAGUAAGAUAUGCGGCAAUCUUAAAGAGGUUCCACCAAUACCACAGUUGGAGAAGCCGAGGAUGGCGUGCGGAAUGGGUUCAGGCAAGUAUGCGAUGCUUUGGUGGAGGCAGAUAAAGAGAGAGACUGAGGCCUGGGAGCAGGCGGUGAAGGAGUACGAGGAGUUAUUGAUGGGCAUGUUUGAGCAGAAGCUUGCCCUGAACUUGCCGUACGUGAAAUCUUUGUUCUUAGGACCAGAUUGCCGCAGAGCAGGAGCAUGGCAGUGAUUACUACGCACAAGCUGAUGAUUCUCCUGAUGACAGGCAGUGGAGAUGGAAGCAUUCAUGUGGUCCAGGCUGCUUGCCAACUUGGUUAGGAUUCAGAGGUUUCUGGAGAAGACAAGAAAAAAGACUGAUAAGGAUAAGAAGAAUGGAGAUAUGGAAGGUGCUACUUUAACCAAAGAGCAGGAGUUUGUACAGAAGAAGGUUACAAAUUUGAUGAAAAAGUAAAAGGUGCACCCGGUAAGGAAGAUAGCGAAGGGACAAGAUGACUCUAAGCCAUGGGGCCAAGAUGCUUAGGUCAAGGUUGGAGUCACUUGAUUGAGCUGUUAAUGGAGACAGCUUAAUUACAAACUCCUGUUAAUCAGUUAGCAGAUGGUCCACCUGAUAUUCAACCUGCAUUCAGGCACUCUCUCAGAACUGUCACGAAGGAACAGCAGUAAGAAGUCUGACCAUCAGGCAACUGAGAGUGCUAUAUAUCUUGAUAACAAUGCAUCACUUGACAGAAAACUUAGCAGGCGAUAUGGGGUUAUUGAAUGCGAUCCGCUAGUCCGUCAAGGGCUAGAUAGAACUGUGAGCAAGAACAAGGUUAUUCCUUACAUGCCAAUGUUGGUGCUUCCAGUAAAUUGGACACGGGAUGUAGUCCUGACUUGUUCAUUUGAAGUUCUAAGUUGGCAAAUUCAGUGGUGGACAGAAAGUUGGUGAUGCAGACUGUCAUUACAUCUGUAUAUGGUGUCACUUAUGUUGGUGGCCAUGAGCAAAUAAAAA